CCCUUUGUAAGAAGUGUUUUAAAGAAGAAGAGAUCCCCAUCUAAUAAGGAGAUAGUUCCUUAUUUAUAGAAGAAAGAUGACUAGGGUUUCAUAGUAAAAUGGGUCUAAUUUAUUGUCUAAUGGGCCUUGAGGUAGAAUGUAAAUCUACCCCCAACAAGGCAUGCGAUGAUCUUGGAGGAGAAUUCUGCGAACCUGACUAUCAAAAAGAUGUCUAUUAGAAGAAAACAGGAUUUGAAUGUGAUGUUGAUAUGUGUUUGUAUCUUUAUAACCACUCAUUAGUAUAUAAAAGAUAGCUUCACUUUAUCAAGACUGAAGUUGUGAACAGACCCAAGUUCCCAAAGUUAAUAAUACAGUAGUGAUUUAAAUUACAUGGUAUAUUAAUCAACACAAUAAUGAAGAAAAUCUCAGACUAGUUUAAGUAACUUAGCGCAUGCAUGUAAAUCUUGUAAAAUCCAUGUCUUAGACUAGUAAAUUACAUCUGCUGCACCGGUUUUUUCUUUAACAUUUUGACACUUCUAUAAAUUGUGGAUGAGUUAUAAACUCUGACUUUUCAUUUUACCUCCAAACGUUAAAUGAUGUUUUUCAUCUAUAUUGUGAAAUUAUGUUUUGUUACCAAACUUCGAAAUAAUCGUUUAUUAUAUUUUUUUUUAGUUUUACAUGUUGGAGUUAUACUAUUAUAAUUAAUUUUAGAAUAUAGUUUGAAACUAAAAGGAAUUAGAAACUAAAAAGUACACUGUUGAUAUUUUUAUUGUAAAUAUAAGUUUGAUGAUUGUUUUUACUUAAAAAUAAAUUAUACUAGGAUCGGCCCGUCCUACGGGCGGGAUAUAUUUUACUUGUGAUAUAGGUUAUUAUUUUUAUAUAAUUUUGUGGUUUGUGUUUUAGAUUCACAUUUGCAAGAGAUAUGUAUGAGGUAUCCUAUUUUAUUUUAAGGUUUUGGUUAGUUUGUUUGUAAGUAAUUUUUGUUUUGACUUUUUUUUUGCUUCUAUGAUAUCACCAUUUCUAUGACAUCAUCAUGAUUGAGUUAUUUUGUCAUUUUAGUUAAAUAAUUUGUAUUUAACAACUAAUAUAUAUGACCUUUUUUAGGCUGGCCUUUGCAUAAUUUUCCAAAAAGAAAAUUUCAACUUUGGAGAAAAACUGGCAAUCAGAACAUUAGCUAUCCAGUUGGGUUGGAAAUGAUGUUCCUAGGUUGGGAAUGUUAUUCCUGGUGUUCAUCGGUCUUAUUUCUUAAGUUCAUUGUUGGGUGAUACUUGGUUUCGGUAAAUAAGCUCUACUUGUUUUGUGUAAUGGUUGCUAUUUUUUGUUAUUUGUGUGUUAAAAUUACGAAUGGAAUUGAUAUGUAUAAUAAUGAUGUAUGUUUUCUAAUAUACUUGAGGUGGGUGGUUUGAUUGGAAAAGAGAUUAUCUGUGGUAUGAUUUAUUGCUUGCUCUUAAUGGUUAUGUAUUCAUUAUAGUGUUGGUUUGGAAUGUUUUUUUUUGUUUGUAUAAUUGCCAUUUCAUCAUUUAUCAUUUUCACCUCUCAUUUUUAAUUACAUUUCAGUUUAAAAGUUACUUACUCAAAUAUUCUAUUUACCUAUAAGAAAUGUAGAUUUCUUUUAUUACAUGUUUUGAAUUCUAAAAACGUAUAUUUAUAAAAUUUAAUAUGUAAUGUUACGAUAAAAUACUAUCAUAUUAUAUUUUGUUUAGAAAUGUAUAAUAGAAUUGUAAUUAUAAUAUAUAUCUUUAUAUAUAUCUGACAUGUAAUAUUACAUUUGUAUAGUGUUGUGUUCUAUUGUAUUUACGAAGCAUAAAAUAUAAAUUUGUAAUUAUACAAAUUAUUUCCCUGCCUCUUUCUAUAUUUUAUUGUAAAAAAAAAAUAUUGUCCAAGUUAGUGACAAAUUAUCACAUUAUUUCUCUACCAAUAUAACAUAAUUAUUUUUAAAUAUUCUAAUUCGUAUUUAUAUUCGACAAAUUCUCCAAUAUCUUAAUAUUGGUGUUGAAGUUAUAUUUUAAUUAGUUUUUUUUCCUCUACUGUUUUUAUAAACAAAUAUUUUCAAUUAUCGUAGUAUUUAAAUUUUCAUUUUUUAUAUUGUGUUUAUUAGUUCUUGGUCUUUUAUCUUUUUCUUUAAUUCACAAUACUUGUUAUGGACAACAUUGUAGAUUUUUUACUAUGAUGUUUGACUUGUUCUAUCAUGUUUAAGGUCCAUUAGAGCAUCAUUAUCCUACCAACUCAUAAUGGGUUGCUUAAUAAUAUAAUAAUAGUAUUUAAGGAGAUAAUUUGGGUAAGAGACUUAGCUAAGCAACUUGACAUUUUUCCUCCUCCAUUGCAAGGCUCUUAUUUUAGGGUGCUUAAAAAUUUUAAAGAUUCUUUUGCCAAUAUUAUGUUCUUCAAAGGAGACAAUUCAAUACACAAAACAUACGGCAAAAGAGGAGAAGAGAAGAAGAGUAUUCACUUGUUAGAAUCCGGCCAUCCUCCAGGAAAUAAGAGAUGGAGGAUGGCCGGAUUCUAACAAGUGAAUACUCUUCUUCUCUUCUCCUCAAUAGUUUUGAGGAGGUUCUCUCAAUAGUUUUCUUUGUAAACAUUAUUUAAUAUAUUCAAGAAAAUCUUUUGUAAAAAAACAUAUAGAAAUCAUUGUAUCAUUGUUCAAAGUUUUAAACCGGUAGUCAAUUUCAAACAUAUUACCACUCAAAAAGUUUCAAAUUUACGUUGUACUUAAACUUAGUGAUCAAAGAUGAUCACAUCACAACUUUACAACAAUCAUAGAGAAGAGAAAACAACUUGCAUCUAAAAAGCUUUGAAGAAACACAACAUUGUAACUUAAGCUGAAUCAAAUACAAAAAGGAACCCAAGUACACUAAGUUCUUUCACAUGGAGAACACGUACAGUAAAUGCUACUUUCAUCAACUUCUGAAAAUUCCCAGAAACAACAAUUGCUUUGUGUAGGAUCAUCUUCUUUUUGGGCAAAGAAUUAACAUACCUUUACCUUAUGUGCAACUAAUUUCCUUGGUUUUGGUGGAAGAGCAGAGCUUAAUCUUUCAGUUUCUUUUCUUUUCUUCCAGCAAGGCAAGGUUCUGAAGCUUCUUUUCCUUGAAUCUUAUCGUUCUGAUCAUAAGAAGAAGAUCCUUCUGUACAAACAAAAACAAACACGAUGAGUUAUCUAUAAAAAUUAAACACUGCAAUUAAGUCUUUUUAUCUAUAAAAAGUCUUUUAUGCAUACAUGACAGACCUCAGAGAGAACAAUAUAGAUAUUUUCAACCCCACGUUUAAUAUGAAACAGAUAAGUAUGUUCAGGAUCAUGAAAGAUCAUUAAUUUAGCGACCAGCUAAUGACGAAUACUCAAUUUAGCAAAACAUUCCAAGAUUAUAUUCAUUUUGGUAAUGAGUUUGCUUCUAACCAAGUGUUCAUGGAAGCUCUGUAUGUUGAGAAAAAACAUGCAUCAAAAUUUGAUUGUCAAUAAGAUGCGUUUGAAUAUGCAGAAAGGCUGAGGUUACCACACCGACAUUAAGAAAGCAUGUUACCACGGCGGUGAUGUCGUCCCAAAGAGAUGGAGAUUAAGUGAGUUGGUGUUUCCAUUAAAACAGUGCCGAAGAAUUGAACUUCCUCAACGCCGCCGGCUACCAAACCAAACACCAUGAAAGCUCUUCCCAGAGUUUCACCUGCGCUAAUGGAGUAAUUGUCUUGAACCGUCGAUCAAUUUCUUCAAAGAGAACCAAGAACUCUCAUCUCAACUCAUCUCCUCACAGAGAAACUUCGCCAUAGCCUUUCGAGAAAGCCCGCUUCACAGUGAAUGGAGGCAGCAAAGAUCUUCAACCACCACGUGGCUUGUGUUGAGCCAACUGUAGAUAAGACAAAAACUAUCAGAAUCGAUCCGAGGUGUUUAUCAAACUAUCUUGGGGAGAGAAAGAGAAAGAAAAAAAGAACAAAACUACAGUUUUAUAAACACCAAUCCAAAACUACUAAAUAAAAUUUUUAUUAGGGUUUGUGAGGAUGAUGUUCAAGGAAAGUAUGCUAACCUUUAUAUAGUGUAGAUACACCGCCUUGAAGAGGAAGACGAUGUAGUUAAGAAGUGUGAUAAUGGCUUCGGCAAAUCGAAACUGACGAAUAGAAUAGAAGCCGAAACAAUGCUACUCGAAGAUUCACAAGAGCUUCUUCAAAUCGAUUCGACUCACUCAAUAUCUCGAAACUCCAUUGUUCGUGUCAGAGAGAUUUCGGUAGCGGCGACUUGGAGAAGACACAACUCUCUGUAUUGGGUUAGAUUUGUUGAGUAAUACGUUAAAACCCAAACAUUAUUUCGCGAGGCUCAUAUAAGGAAACACAACGACACGUGGCAAGUUUUUCUUCCUCCACUUAAUGACGUGGCAAUCAAACAUAUUUUUAUAUAAUUAGAUGUUCUUGAACUAUGAAACCAAAUUAAUUAUUUAGAAAAUGUUAAUUUAAAACAGAAAUUUUUUAGUAAUUUGAUACAUUUUACACCCGAAUCUUUUUUGUCAACAACAUAAAAAAAAGAGAAAAAGACUAGGAUAGCACCAAACCAAGUUUUUGUUCCCAAAGUAGCACUCAAGGCUCAAAGUCACAAAAAUAGGUUUCAUUAAAGAGGUAAAUAUACACUUAUACCCCUUGGGUUAAUUAAUCCAAACCUUAGGGUUUAGAGUUAAGGGGUGGGGUUUUGGAAUUAGGGUUUAAAAUUUUAUAAAAAAUAAAUACUAAAAUAAAAAUAAAAAUUUUAAAAACAGUUUCAAAAAGUAUUUUUAAAUUAUAAAAAAAAUUUGAAAAAAAAAAUUCAAAAAAAAAAUUUCAAAAAAAAAAUUAUAAAAAUUUCGAAUCUGAAAACACAUAAUCUGAAACUAUAAAAAAAGAAUUUUUUAUUUUUUUAUUUUUAUUUUAUUUAUUUAUAUUUAUUUUUGUUUGUUUAUUUAAUUUUAAACCAAGGGUAUUAGGGAUAUUUUACCCUUUAAUGAAUGUCAUUUUUGUGAAUUUCUCCUUCUAGUGCUAUUUUUGAGACAUAAACUUCAAAAGGUGCUAUUAUUGACAAUUGCCCUAAAAAAAAUAUCCAAUUUUUGUAAAAUUUCAUAAAAAAAUAAUUUUGCAUCCAAAUACAGUUACAAAAUGCCAAAAUUCUUCUAACUAAUGAUAUUAAAGUGUUUUAUCUAAUUGUUAUUUUGAUGUUGAAUUAGACUGCGACGUCAAAAAAAAAAGGAACAAGAUCAACUGUUUGUCUCUGGAUCAUUUCAACAGCUGUAAUUGCUUUGGCAAGGUAAAUGGUUUACAUAUCUAUUGUAAAUCUAAAACUGUCUAUACCAUAUAUAGAUGAGAUUUUUUCAUAUUUCAGGAUUUGAAAGAAUUUAACCUAAGUUCCGAUUAUAUUUCCGAUUACAAACAACAUAUAUAAGGGUGAUCAAUAAAAUUUUACUCUUGAUCGUUGUUCAUGCUUGUUAUUGUUUACUUCACGUUUUCGCAGUGCCAACAUAAAUUUUUCCUAAUAAUACACAGAUAUGGAACGUGGUGCAGCUAUUGCACGUGAUAUGGAACGUGAUGCAGCAAAUCUCGUUUGAAUCUUGAUGUAUACUUUUAUAUCACGAUAUUUUCUUUUGAAUUAGUCUUUUCUGCUUUUUUAUCAAUGGUUUAUUUAUUUAUAUGUUUUAAAUUGUCAAUAAACUCUAGCGUUGGUUGAACUUUAUUUAUAAGUUUCAUAUUCUAUUUACCUUUUGACAAGGUGUUCAUAACUAAUUAAAUGAUGUGUAAACACAACAUACAAAAGCAGUUCUUUUAGGAAAAUUCAUUCUCGAUUUGUGUCUUCCUUUCUAUUUAUAAUGUAAUAUAGAACUAAACUUCUCUCUAAACUUGGAAACAACUAAAUGUCCACUGGUAGGUUCAGAAGAACUUGUUCUACUCUUGUCCAUUAUCUCAGGAACGUAGUAUAUAUUGACAAUUUAAUUAUUCGCAAUAUCAAAAUAUUAAAAGAAAGAUAUAAGACAUACCCGUCUUGAGUCUUUCACUUAGUCUUGCUAUUUAUGCCCAUCAAACGUCACUUCAGUCUCAUCAGCAUAGGCAAGAAUUUCCAUUCUUUGAAAAUGUUGAGAGGGGAUAACCGAUUCGUUCACAUAUCCCCUUUACUAGAAUCCCAAAAUGCAAGAUCAUAUAUCUGCAACACUUUCUUUAUUUAACUCAGUUUCUCUGGUAGUGUUCUGAUUUUGUAUUUUUGGACUCUUUAUUUUUUUAAUAAAAAAAGAGAGUGUAUUUUUGGAUUUGGAAACAGGGUUUUCGUUGCAGAGGCAUGCGAUGAACUUCGAGGAGAGUUCUGCGAACCUGACUAUCAAAAAGAUG
rnacentral:lncRNA from 1 species